UUCUAUCGGCAUUCUGAUUCGAGUCUUUGUAUUUAUCUGGUGGUCUAUGUUGACGACAUUGUUAUUACCAGCAAUGACCAGGAUAAUAUUACUAAAUUGAAGCAACAUCUCUUUCAACACUUUCAGAUUAAGGAUCUGGGCACACUAAAGUAUUUUCCUGGGUAUUGAGGUAGCUCAGUCUAGCUCAGGUAUUGUGAUCUCACAACGGAAGUAUGUCUUAGAUAUUCU
rnacentral:lncRNA from 1 species